ACUCAAAUGAAUAGACGGGGGCCCGCACAAGCGGAGGAGCAUGUGGUUUAAUUCGAUGAUACGCGAGGAACCUUACCCGGGCUCGAACGUAUGCUGAAUAAUAUGGAAACAUGUUAGUCGUAAGACAACAUACGAGGUGCUGCAUGGUUGUCGUCAGCUCGUGCCGUGAGGUGUCAGGUUAAGUCCUAUAACGAGCGCAACCCUUACCGUUAGUUGCCAGCAAGUAAUGUUGGGGACUCUAGCGGAACUGCCUACGCAAGUAGUGAGGAAGGUGGGGAUGACGUCAAAUCAGCACGGCCCUUAUGUCCGGGGCUACACACGUGCUACAAUGGUCGAAACAGAGGGACGCUACUAUGCAAAUAGAUGCAAAUCUCAAAAAUCGAUCUCAGUUCGGAUCGGAGUCUGUAACUCGACUCCGUGAAGUUGGAUUCGCUAGUAAUCGCACAUCAGCCAUGGUGCGGUGAAUACGUUCCCGGGCCUUGUACACACCGCCCGU
rnacentral:rRNA from 1 species